rnacentral:sRNA from 1 species
UUUUUUGGACAAAAACUUUUGAUUUCACUCAUUCUAAGGAAUACAAAGUUCAGUAGCUCUACAACCUUGAAGAAUACAACAAUAAGAUUUAAAGCAUAUAGGUAUGCAGCAUAAGUAAAAUAAGGAUAGACCGACGAUGAAUCCAUGAAUUCUCGGAGACAAUUGUUGAGGUUGCUACAAACGAGAAGACGGUCAGCCGGGAUCACCACCACGAUCACGUCGGGAGAUGAGAGGAUAGUCACGGUAUUAGAUAUAGUGACGUUGAGAAAAGUUCUGAAACCUUGAAACUCGCCGGCGCAAGACACUCUACACGAAGUAGUGAUAGGUUUAUGGAACUCGAUUGCUUGCACAGCAUAGAAGCCGAAAGCAGAGGACGGUUGGAACAAAUGGUUCUCUGCAUAAAGGAGGAGGGGUUGAAACAAAUGGUUCUCUCCAUAAAGGAGGAGGGUUGGAACAAAUGAUUUUCAGAUUCUAAAUGAAGAUGAUUAAAGAGGACCUUUACAAAUUGAUUCGGGAUCUCUCAAUAGAUGGUCAAUGAAAUUCCUAUGCGACUGGAUCCAAAUCUGAAGGAUGAGGGUGGUUGGGAGAUGCUUUGUCGAAAACUCAGCGGAGCUAUUGAUCGGAAUAAGAACAGAUAUACCAAGAUGGUGACCAUGGUCACACCAAAACCGACUCGAAUGUGGAUAUACUAUGCCGAAGAGCGUAGAUCUUGUUUUCUCAGACAAAGGAAAAUGAGUAAUGCUUUGGACCAGGGUUCGAAGGAGAUAAUUGCAAAGACAAGAUAUAGAUGUCGACACAAGGAUUGAAAGGUGUCCUCUCCCAUUCAAAACAAAGUAUCGAAACAUCAACGUAAUUGGAUUUUGCAAUAGUAUUAAAAAAUCAGACCUGGGCCUAGUAGGGGAUAGGGUUGGGCCGCAAAUAAAGAUGUUGGAUUUCAUUAAAGGGAAUGUGACACGUUUAGGCACUUUAAGAUAAUCUUAUUCCUUUUGAGACACUUAUAAGGGAGAGGACACUUUUUCCAUUAUUUGACUUUUUUUAAGACAUUUUUACCCUUAAUUUAACCAACUACUUUUAUUUUAAAAUUUAAUACAAAUUAAACAUUUUCUCUCUCUUCCACAAUCCUUACGCAAAAUAAAAGAAAUCUAUCUCUCUCUCUCCCCCUUUCAUGAUUUGUAGUGUCUUUCUCUCUCCACGUCUCCAUAACUUCUAGGCUCGAUUCCUCUUAUCGAGUAUGGCGGCCGCUCACCAAAAAUCGAUGGUACCAAUUCUGCAAAUAAAUGGGAGAAUUUUCUUAAACAAUUAGAUCUCGAUUAUCUCAGGAAUUUGGUAAAAUUUCUAUGUUCAUAAGGUCUUAGAGGUGGAGAUCUCUGCAAACUGUAAAAAAAAUCAACAAACAAUUUUUUGGUGUCCAUAAUAACGAGUCCAUUUAAAUAUAUCCAUUCGGAAACCUUUUUACUGAUCCAUAUCCAAUCUAUAUAUCAUGUCCAUAAUAACAGGAGAUUCGAUUAACUGUGGUUUGUAAAAAAACCAAAGUUUCAUGUCCAUAAGGUCUUGAAGGUGGAGGUCUCUGCAAACUAAAAGAAAAAUCAACAAACAAUUUUUUGGUAUCCAUAAUAACGAGUCCAUUUAAAUAUAUCAAUUCAGAAACUUUUCUACUGAUCCGUAUCCAUUCUAUAUACCAUGUCAAUAAUAACAGGAGAUUCGAUUAACCGUGUUUUGUAAAGAAACCAAAGUUCCAUGUCCAUAAGGUAUUAAAGGUGGAGGUUUCUGCAAACUGAAAAAAAAA